GAAAAGUAAUAGAUUUUUAAAUGCUAUUUUAUGUAUAUGAAUACUUACACUGCAUGUAUGGCUGUGUACCAUGGGCAUGCCUAGAGCCCUCAGUGUUUAGAGCAAGUGUCAGAUCCCUGGAACUGUUGGUAGAGACCAUUGUGAGUUACCAUAUGGAUGCUGGGAACUGAACCUUGAUUCUCUGCAUGAAUAACACACACUCUUGACUGUUGAGCCAUCUUUUCAGCCCCUCUAGCAGUCUCUUAAAAUGAGUUAGUGCUAUGUAGAGUAAAUAAAGAGCAUUCUGGCAACUUCAUUGUAAUGUUUCACAAUAAGAAUAUGAUAAAUAUUAAAUUGGUGUUCUCAGAGCAGAGUAUGUUCAUAGUGUUCAUGUGUGCAUACCCACACACAUAACACUUUAUUUUUACUAACGGAGUGCUUCCCACUCAGUGUGAAGUCGGUAAUAAACUCAUACUGCUUUGUACCAUUGGGCAGAGACAUUAAAGUGAAAUUACCAGGCAAGCAUGGUAAUAUAUACCAUGAAUCCUAGCACUCAGGACAUAGAGACAGAUGGAUCUCAUUGAAUUCAAGGCCAGCCAGGCCUAUACAGCAAGUUCCUACCAUCCAGGGCUAUGUAAUAAGACCCUGUUUUUAUUUUGUUUGUUGGUUGUUUUUUUUUUUUUUGUCUUUUUAUUUUCUUUUAAGGAAGGGAAAGAUAAAUUACCAUUCAAUCUGUAAAAAAUAAACCCAAUAAGCCCCUCAUAUUCCACUAUUUGGUUUGUUUUGUAUUUUCUCUUCAGAGACUGUCUUAUCAUGGGAAUGAAGCUUUUGCUUUUGGUCACUUAGUACAGACCCAUAACUCAAGUGACAUCUCAGUCUAUUCUGUGUCCUAGAGCUGGGAAUUCCCUGCUUUCUUUCCUGCUUUUUCAGAUAUGAAUAAUGUAGUCCUAGCCUUCCAAGGAUUCUUUCCAGUAUUGCUUUCUAGCACUACAAAGUACAACUACUUUAAACUCUCUAUCUAGCUAAGACAUAAUUUAGAAGGGUGUGUGUAUGGUUUUUUUUUUUGUUUUUUUUUUUUUUUUUUUUUUGUGUGUGUGUGUGUGUGUGUGUGUGUGUGUUUGCCUCACACGUAUGUGUGUGUACCUGGUGCCCAAGGAGGUCAGAAGAGGGCAUCAGGUUCCCUGAAACUGGAGUUACAGACUGUUGUGAGCCACUGUGUGGAUGCUAGGAAUCAAAUUGGGAUCCUCUGCAAACCACUACUGAGCCAUCUCUCCUGUUAAGCAUUUAUUUAUUUAAUUUUUUUCCCCAAGACGGGGGUUUCUCUGUGGCUUUGAAGGCCGUCCUGGAACUAGCUCUUGUAGACCAGGCUGGUCUCGAUCUUACAGAGAAAUGCCUGUCUCUGCCUCCUGAGUGCUGGGACUAAAGGCGUGCACUACCACUGCCUGGCAAGCAUUUAAUUUUUAAAGAGUAAACUUAGGAUGGGCAUGGUGGCACACACCUUUAUUAAUCCCAGCGCUUGUGAACCAGAGACAGGUAGAUCUCUGAGUUUGAGGCUAACGUAGUUGACAUACUGAAAUCCUGUCUGAAAACAAGAAAGGAAAGAAUAAAUUUGUGAGCUGUCAAAACAGUUUAGCAGAGCUGGGUGGUGGUGACACAUGCCUUUAAUCCCAGCACUCAGGAGGCAGAGGCAGCAGAUUUCUGUGAGUUCAAGGCGGAGGUAGGC
rnacentral:lncRNA from 1 species